rnacentral:piRNA from 1 species
UAGAAUGCAGGGUGCCCUGGGCAAGUUGU